ensembl:lncRNA
ACAGACCACAACAGUGCAGAGAGCUAAUAGAGCUGGAGACCCAAGAGUUAAGAUUCAAAAAUACAGAUAUUCUCGAUUCCAGCUCAACAGCCAAAGAAAAAUAUUGUCCACUUAAUGUAACCAAAGCCUGCCUGUCACCACUGACGAUCAGGGAAGGACCGACUGAGAUGAGAUGGCUUUCAGCAAAUAAUCCUAUUUUGUCAUUGGUUUUGCUUUUAGCAAUUGGAAUGGUAAAAAAAAAAAAAAAAAAAUGCUGUACAGAUGUAAAGUUAUGUGCCCAGGCACUGGUGGCACACACCUUUAAUCCCAGCACUCAGGAGGCAGAGGCAGACAGAUCUCUGUUAGUUUGAGGCCAGCCUAGUCUACAGAGUGAGAUCUAGGACAGCCACGGCCACAUAGAGAAACCUUGUCUCAGGGAACAAAAAGCGAAGAAGUGGUGGUGUAUGCCUUGGUGCUGUUGAUAGUGCUGCAAGUAAUGCAGUCCAUCUGGCAACAUUACUAGAGCAUUCCUGGGCAAUGAUGAAGGAGAAAGUAGCAGCAUGUAUAAAGAUGUUGAUACUGCUGGUAUCAUAAGAUUGGCAAGAAGAGGGCUGGAGAGAUGGCUCAGCGGCAGAGAGCACUGACUGCUCUUCCAGAGGUCCUGAGUUCAAUUUCCCAGCCACCACAUGGUGGCUCACAACCAACUGUAAUGGGAUCUGAUGCCCUCUUCUGGUGUGUCUGAAGACAGCGACAGUGUACUCACAUAAACCAUUAAAAAAAGAAGAGAUUGACAAGAAGAAGUUUCCUAUGUAUUGGUGUCACUUGGGGCUUUGUAUGGCCUUGGCUAUCUUAAAACUAGCUUGAAGACCAAACUGGCCUGCAGCUCACAGAGUGAGUACUGGGAUUAAAGGUGUGCACACGUGCCCCAACAUCACCCAGCUUGGUGUUAAAUCCUACUGAGUCCACCUAAUUCUGACUCUUAUUUGUUGAAACAGUGUCUCUCAGAUUGUCCUGGAACUUGAUAUGUAAACUGGCUAACCUCAAAAUCACUGAAAACUGUCAAAGACCAGCUUCAAUGAUGAGUCAGGGUAAACUGAGGUGGGGUGUAGAGUUGGCAGUAGAUCACGGAGGGAGCAGGCAAAGUAGUACCUGGGGGCAAGAAACAAAGCUUGAUUCUCUGGUGAGGAAAGUGGAGAAGCAGUAGUAACACACACAAACACACACCGCACACAUACGCAACACAUGCACACAAACACAUUUGAUGGGUGGAGCAAAGAAACUAACCCAUGUUUGAUGGAUGAAACAAAACAAGCAAGCUCCAACAACUUCAUACAUAUACAUACAUGCACACACAAACACACAUUUGAUGGCUAGAGCAAAGCUCCAAAUGAGCAAGCUCCAACAACUUUUUUUUUUCCUCUCAGUUUAUCCCAGCAAAAUCAAACUAUAAAAAUCAC